UUCCUUUGUGCUUUGGAGGUGUUUGAUGGGGUUGUUGCACAGAUCUCUGCUUGGCACACUGCAGCUCCACUGGUGGGAUCUGUCCUCUGCUCCCUGGCCAUGUCCUCGUGCAGCUGAGGGCUCCGGAGCUGAACUCAGCCAAAGCCAUAUGUUACGGAGAACCCGCUCAUCCGCUUGCGCUGCCUCCCCUCGCCAGCCAGAAACCUCUCAGGCUCAUUUCUACUGAUGAGAAAUGUCAAAUACUCCAGGCUUCCCAGCAACAGCCAGGAGCCUGAGGGGCUGCCAUCACAUCCAGCUGGCUUGAUAUCUUUGUCUUUCAGGCAUGAAAUGACUGGGCUGGUUCAGGUCAGGCUUUGCAGGAAGAAUCCAGCCAGGGAACUCUCAGUGCAAUCACUCCAAUUGGACAAGUGAAGGCAUCUUGCAAAGUGGCAAAGGCGAGAGCCCUAGGGGGCUGAAGGUCCCCAGCUUUCCCUGGAGUCAGCAGGUUUAGGAUCACUUAUCCCAAAGGCCAGUCUAGAUGCAGCCUCAUUGAGAGGUGUCCUGCAGGGAAAGACCUCAGCUUCAGCUCCUAGCAAUGGGGGCUUAUUGCAAACCAUUAAUUGGUUUGUUUGAACAGCAGGACAUGCCCUAAAACUCACUUAUAUCCCCUUAAUAAGGACAAAACUACUACAGCCUCAAAGUGCAACAUCACUAAGCGGUAAAACCCUGUGUAUCUAUGACUCUUUUAAUAGGCAAUUUGUUCUGAUAGUGGAGAUUGUUGAUAAUAAACAAUAAUUUUAAGGGUUUUGUCCUGUUGCCUCUAGUUAGAAGCUAAUUCAGUUCCCAUUCCUUCAUUUACAAAACUUCUUUUAUACCCUGAUAUGCAGCUACUGGACAGACACAGACUGGAAGUUUUGAAAGUUACUGGCAUGAGCUGUGAACUUCCUGGGCUUGUGUUUCACAGGUUUGUGAUACACAUGUAAGACAUGAAGUGCCUUUUCCUCACCCCAGGUCUUCA